rnacentral:snoRNA from 1 species
GUGAUGUGCUAAGGGUCUUCUGACAGAGUGAAGAGUAGCCACGGCUGA